GCGGUUGAUUAGAAUAUAACUUUAGUCAACAGCGCCAUUGUUUUGCUAACGCUAACGCUAACCUUACCAAAUGAGAGACGUAGCGGGCUCGCCAUCGUUUGCACGAUGAUGUGUUGUCGGGCGACUUAUGAUCUUAAUGUUUAGAGAGACAAAUGCCUCCUGGGAGCUAAACGAGCUGGAGCAGUUAUUUAAAACAAAAUGUUAGCUAACGUUAGCUAAGUUAACCGUUAGCAUAGCAUCGAUUGCUGCUGGAAACCGUCGUACAACAUUAACUGCCUUUGGAAGAUAAACUUAGUUAACAUUUGCGUUAGUUAACUUAAAUGGAGACGGGAUACUCUAACCUGAGGAGACCAAAGAGGAAACUCUGCUAUCUCACAAACAAGACCAGUCCACCCAAAAAAUGGUCGGAACCUCUGACAUUGGAUGACAUUGACAAGAUGUUUGAUGACUUGGAUCCAUCCUCACAUGUUAAAGAUGACCUGUUGCCCUCGUCUAGUCUGCUUCAGACCUUUGAUACUGAGCCAAACCAGUGUGGGAGACCGGUUUCACCGCUCCCACAGGAAGGACAUCUAACAGAAAGAUGCCAAAUGGUAAUCAAUAGUCAAUAGUGACUGUUCACUGCUGUUAUGUCACACAGGGCUGAUGAGCCAGUAGUAACC
ensembl:lncRNA